rnacentral:rRNA from 1 species
UGGGGAAUAUUGCACAAAGGGCGCAAGCCUGAUGCAGCCAUGCCGCGUGUAUGAAGAAGGCCUUCGGGUUGUAAAGUACUUUCAGCGGGGAGGAAGGUGUUGUGGUUAAUAACCACAGCAAUUGACGUUACCCGCAGAAGAAGCACCGGCUAACUCCGUGCUAGCAGCCGCGGUAAUACGGAGGGUGCAAGCGUUAAUCGGAAUUACUGGGCGUAAAGCGCACGCAGGCGGUCUGUCAAGUCGGAUGUGAAAUCCCCGGGCUCAACCUGGGAACUGCAUCCGAAACUGGCAGGCUUGAGUCUUGUAGAGGGGGGUAGAAUUCCAGGUGUAGCGGUGAAAUGCGUAGAGAUCUGGAGGAAUACCGGUGGCGAAGGCGGCCCCCUGGACAAAGACUGACGCUCAGGUGCGAAAGCGUGGGGAGCAAACA